GAACUGCGAUAAGUAAUGUGAAUUGCAGAAUUCAGUGAAUCAUCGAGUCUUUGAACGCACAUUGCGCCCCCUGGCAUUCCGGGGGGCAUGCCUGUCCGAGCGUCAUUGCUGCCCAUCAAGCCCGGCUUGUGUGUUGGGUCGUCGUCCCCCCCGGGGGACGGGCCCGAAAGGCAGCGGCGGCACCGUGUCCGGUCCUCGAGCGUAUGGGGCUUUGUCACCCGCUCGACUAGGGCCGGCCGGGCGCCAGCCGACGUCUCCAACCAUUUUUCUUCAGGUUGACCUCGGAUCAGGUAGGGAUACCCGCUGAACUUAAGC
rnacentral:misc_RNA from 1 species